GUCUGUUGAUUGCGUUCUGGUGUUCUGUUAGUCUUGUCUUGUCUUUUCAGACAAGACUAACAGAACACCAGAACGCAAUCAACAGACACGACAC